AUAUCUGCCAUGUUGCAUCGAAAAGGAGGCUGACCCUUUUCUUCCUGUUUCCUGUCCGUAGCGCGUCUGCAGUUUGUUGAUCGUCACUUUUGAUAAACAAACUUGUUUAAUAUUCAGACGUCAUGGAGGCAGGAGGCGAAGACAAGAUUACAGACUAUUUAACCCUUCUUUCCCCCCAGGACGCUGAACAGUCCAGUGUUGCUGUUUUUGAUCUGGGACUCGAACAAGAAGAUCAAGAAGAAAACCAGACCUCGAAAAGACUGCCUUCCAAGGUUUCGAAAAAAAGAAA